UACAGAAGGUGCGAGCGUUUAUUCAUAGUUACUGGGCGUAAAGGGUAUGUAGGCAGAGCAUAAAAUUUUUGUUCCAAAAAUCUGGAGUCAUAACUUCAGAAACAGACUUUUAGAUUAGUGCUCUCUGAGUUAAUAACGGGUCGGAGGAACUUUUUAGCGAAAAAGGUAAAAUUUUUUAAAAUUCUAAAAGGAACACCAAAAGGCAAAGGCAAUCCCUCUAGCGUUAACUGACGCUGAGGUACGGAAGCGUAGGGAUCAAACAGG
rnacentral:rRNA from 1 species